UUACUAGAUAAGGUCUUGAAACUUAAAGAAUUUGGCGGUAUUAUAGUCUAUUUAGAGGAAUCUGUUAUGUAAUCGAUAAUCCGCGUUGAACCUUACUUAUUUAAUUUCUUGUAUAUCGCUGUUUAAAAAUAUAUUUUUAGAUUAUUUUCUAAAUUAUUUAAUUUUUUAAUAUUUCAAGUCAAGGUGCAGGUUAUAAAUAAAGUUAAAUAAAUGGAUUACAAUAAAUUUUAUUUAUAUGAAUUGUUGUUUUAAUAUAAUUUGAAGGUGGAUUUAUUUGUAAAUU
rnacentral:rRNA from 1 species